rnacentral:rRNA from 1 species
UCCACGCCGUAAACGAUGAUAACUCGUUGUUGGCGGUACACAGUCAGCGACUAAGGGAAACCGAUAAGUUAUCCACCUGGGGAGUACGAUCGCAAGGUUGAAACUCAAAGGAAUUGACGGGGGCCCGCACAAGCGGUGGAGCAUGUGGCUUAAUUCGAGGCAACGCGAAGAACCUUACCUGGGUUUGACAUAUAAGCGACCGCCGGUGAAAGCCGGUUUCUCUUCGGAGCGCU